AACAGGAUUAGAUACCCUGGUAGUCCACGCUGUAAACGUUGGGAACUAGGUGUGGGGUGCAUUCCACGUGCUCUGCGCCGCAGCUAACGCAUUAAGUUCCCCGCCUGGGGAGUACGGCCGCAAGGCUAAAACUCAAAGGAAUUGACGGGGGCCCGCACAAGCGGCGGAGCAUGUGGCUUAAUUCGAUGCAACGCGAAGAACCUUACCAAGGCUUGACAUGCGCGGGAAGUCGGCAGAGAUGUCGGUGCCUUCGGGUCCGCGUGCAGGUGGUGCAUGGUUGUCGUCAGCUCGUGUCGUGAGAUGUUGGGUUAAGUCCCGCAACGAGCGCAACCCUCGUUCUGUGUUGCCAGCGGGUUAUGCCGGGGACUCACAGGAGACUGCCGGGGUCAACUCGGAGGAAGGUGGGGAUGACGUCAAAUCAUCAUGCCCCUUAUGUCUUGGGCUGCACACAUGCUACAAUGGCCGGUACAAAGGGCUGCGAACCUGUGAGGGGGAGCGAAUCCCAUAAAGCCGGUCUCAGUUCGGAUUGGGGUCCGCAACUCGACCCCAUGAAGUCGGAGUCGCUAGUAAUCGCAGAUCAGCAACGCUGCGGUGAAUACGUUCCCGGGCCUUGUACACACCGCCCGUCACGUCACGAAAGUCGGUAACACCCGAAGCCGGUGGCCCAACCCCUUGUGGGAGGGAGCUGUCGAAGGUGGGAUCGGCGAUUGGGACGAAGUCGUAACAAGGUAACC
rnacentral:rRNA from 1 species